GAUGAAGAACGUAGCGAAAUGCGAUACGUAAUGUGAAUUGCAAAUUCAGUGAAUCAUCGAGUCUUUGAACGCACAUUGCGCCCCCUGGUAUUCCGGGGGGCAUGCCUGUCCGAGCGUCAUUGCUGCCCUCAAGCACGGCUUGUGUGUUGGGCCCCGUCCUCCGAUCCCGGGGGACGGGCCCGAAAGGCAGCGGCGGCACCGCGUCCGGUCCUCGAGCGUAUGGGGCUUUGUCACCCGCUCUGUAGGCCCGGCCGGCGCUUGCCGAUCAACCCAAAUUAUUAUCCAGGUUGACCUCGGAUCAGGUAGGGAUACCCGCUGAACUUAAGCAUAUCAAUAAGCGGAGGA
rnacentral:misc_RNA from 1 species